AAUCAAACUCCGGGUUUUUUAACAGCGUUAUCAAGUCGUUAGGGUGCGUGAGGCGGAGGAGCAAGUGCAGGGGAUCCAUCGGUGGGAGACCCUUAGAACCUAGCUAAGAUGGAAGAGGAGGUGAGGAUGCUUCUCCAGGACGCUUUUGGCGAAUUAUCAGAUGGCGAAGGCGGCGAGGAAGCACAAGAACGGAAGUCCCAAGAUUUGAACAAGCUCUCGAUUUUUGGUGAAAUCCAAAACUGGGAAAGAAUUGAUCAAAUUAAGGGCUUAUGGUUAUGCAGGGACUUCCUAUCUCCCGAUCAACAAUCUUCGCUGCUCUCCGCAAUCCAAAAAGGCACUUCUAUCAAUUUGUAAAAACCUUUCUAACUUAACUGCUUUCUUUGGUUGUUACGUACUAAGAUGAUUGUAAGACGCUCAAAAAACUGGUGAUGGCAUGUGAGCUUUCGUAUUUUUUUUUCUUGAGUCCUACUACAAUUUUUAUGUUUCUUUAGAGUCGAAUCAAAUUAAAUUUGUUUGAGUUUGAUUAAAUGCUUAUUAAAUAUUUCUCAACGGAUGAUUGAUAAAAACACAAAAUAAUAAUUGAAGAGGGCUCUCAUGCAAGUGUUAUUUGUGGCUGCAGAAGGAUGGUUGAGUGAAUUCUCUGGAAAUCAGCAUACAUGCAUUUUCUUUGUCGUUGAAGGCCAUGAGAUUUGGAAAUCUUCCCCAAUGGGCCAUUGAACUUUCCAACUCCAUUAAGGAGGCUGUUUUCGUCGGUCAUUAUCUCUCUGAAUCCAUGAACUUACCAACUCAUGACAAAGGUAAAGAGGCCUACCCCCUUCCACCAGAAUUGUUGUGGAGGGAACCGCUAUUUGAUCAACUUAUUGUGAACACAUACCAACCAGGGAAUUUGUGCGCAUGUUGAUCUGAUGCGCUUUGAAGAUGGAAUUGCCAUUCUUUCUUUGGAAUCAUCCUGUGUCAUGCACUUUAGUCUAGUUGAGGAUGAGUUAUCUGAUUAUAGAGAGGAGAAGGCGGGCAAAAAUAGUUCUUCUGCAAAGAUCCCUGUGCUUUUAACCGAAGGAUCGUUGGUCCUAAUGUGGGGAGAAGCACGCUACUUUUGGAAGCAUGAGAUUAAUAGGAAGCCUGGUUUUCAGAGGUGGAUGGGGCAAGAAAUUGAUCAAAGAAAGCGAACCUCUAUUACAUUGAGGAAGCUUUGCUAAACUACACCAUAUUCCGUGGUAUAUCUCAGCUCCACAUCUAAUUUUCAGCAGCUCGAUUCUACGUUGCUGUGGUAGUAAUUAUCGCGUGUAUAUGAAUAUCCUUCCCGUCGCCCAGCGGUUGGGAAGGACUAAUUGGCUAUUGCUUCAGGUGAGAUCAAUAUGAUUUAAGCUUUUGGGAGUCGAGGCUUGAUCUCGGGAGCGCGAUAGACUGUCCGUUUGUUCCUUUAAGACAAAACAACUCACUCCUUGACCAGGGCCUUUUAUUCUUUUUCACUGGUGGUUCUUUCUACUUGUAUUCUAUUCGGUCAAUGCUCCAAUUUCCAACGGCCCACUGUGAGGGCAAGACAUUCCUGGCGAACAUAUUAUUGUAAUUUAUAGCCCCUCGAAUGUAAAACUAUAAUAGCCAAUCGAAUGCGAGGGUAAUAGAAUGUCUCAAGCGUGCUUUCUGAUACAUGGAGAGGGAAGGUUACGGAUACAUGCAACGUUUUACGGCUAUGAUUCAACAUAA